GCUGGGUGUGGUGGCGGGCGCCUGUAGUCCCAGCUACUCAGGAAGCUGAGGCAGGAGAAUUGCUUGAGCCCACGAGGCGGAGGUUUCGGUGAGCCCAGAUCUCGCCAUUGCACUCCAGCCUGGGUGAGAAGAGCAAAAUUCCAUCU